rnacentral:rRNA from 1 species
AAGUUUCUCAAGCUUGGAUGCUUUUUGUUUGACGAAAAUGCUCUUGGCUUGGUAUUGGGCUUUGCCGUGUCCCCAUUCUUUUGGGGAACGGCUGGUCUUAAAGGUAUUAGCUUGACCCCUGAUGGUGGCAUUGGUUCUACUCAGCGUGAUAAAUAAUCUGACCGCUGAGGACAUCUUUCGGGAUGGCCAGUUCUAGUUGGGGGUUGCUCUCUAAUCCGGUUAACAGGAUCUCCUCAGAUCCUGCUGCACUUUCAAUUUUGACCUCGAAUCAGGUGGGACUACCCGCUGAACUUAAGCAUAUCAAUAAGCGGAGGAAAAGAAACUAACAAGGAUUCCCCUAGUAACGGCGAGUGAAGCGGGAAUAGCUCAAAUUUAAAAUCUGG